AUAUAUUUUAUAUUUAUAUAUA
rnacentral:tRNA from 1 species